rnacentral:rRNA from 1 species
CCUACGGGAGGCAGCAGUGAGGAAUAUUGGUCAAUGGGCGCGAGCCUGAACCAGCCAAGUAGCGUGAAGGAUGACUGCCCUACGGGUUGUAAACUUCUUUUAUAAAGGAACAAAGUGAGGCACGUGUGCCCUUUUGUAUGUAUUUUAUGAAUAAGGAUCGGCUAACUCCGUGCCAGCAGCCGCGGUAAUACGGAGGAUCCGAGCGUUAUCCGGAUUUAUUGGGGUUAAAGGGAGCGCAGAUGGGUUGUUAAGUCAGUUGUGAAAGUUCGGGGCUCAACCGUAGAAUUGCAUUUGAUACUGGCAGCAUUGAGUACAUUUGGGGUAGGCGGAAUUCGAGGUGUAGCGGUGAAAUGCUUAGAUAUCCCGAAGAACUCCGAUUGCGAAGGCAGCCUACUAA